UACGUAGGGCGCAAGCGUUGUCCGGAAUUAUUGGGCGUAAAGAGCUCGUAGGUGGCUUGUCGCGUUGUUCGUGAAAACUCACAGCUUAACUGUGGGCGUGCGGGCGAUACGGGCAGACUGGAGUACUGCAGGGGAGACUGGAAUUCCUGGUGUAGCGGUGGAAUGCGCAGAUAUCAGGAGGAACACCGGUGGCGAAGGCGGGUCUCUGGGCAGUAACUGACGCUGAGGAGCGAAAGCGUGGGGAGCGAACAGG
rnacentral:rRNA from 1 species